rnacentral:rRNA from 1 species
ACCAAAUACUUCCGAUGGAUACCAAAGUUUAUGCCUAAUAGCAGAAAUCUACAGAUUGUUGGGCUAGUUGUAGUUUGUUGGGCUGUGUGGAAAUUAUGUAAAAGAGCUUGUUUUGAUCAGAAGUUAGUCAGGUUGCCUUCUGAAUUCAUAUGCUAUGCAAGUGCUUUUAUGUGUUAUUGGGCAGGCCUGCAAUCUGAAGAGGAUUGAAUGAUGACGAAGCAAGGUGUUGAGCUGCUGCAGAGGGAGGCAUUGAUGGCUCAUGGUGAUGGCCAGGGCGAGAGAAGAGGAAGAAUCCUAUAG